rnacentral:tRNA from 1 species
CCGACCUUAGCUCAGUUGGUAGAGCGGAGGACUGUAGUUUGUUGCUGAUAUCCUUAGGUCGCUGGUUCGAAUCCGGCAGGUCGGA